rnacentral:rRNA from 1 species
GACGAACCGUGCAAACGUUGUUCGGAAUCACUGGGCUUAAAGGGCGCGUAGGCGGCUCAUCAAGUCGGGGGGUGAAAUACUUCAGCUUAACUGGAGAAGUGCCUUCGAUACUGGUGGGCUCGAGGGAGGUAGGGGUCUUUGGAACUUCUGGUGGAGCGGUGAAAUGCGUUGAUAUCAGAAGGAACGCCGGUGGCGAAAGCGAAGGACUGGACCUCUUCU